UGAUGUUGCAGGAUUAUAAUUUCUGACAUUGGCUAUCGAGAUUUAAUGUGGACAAACUUGAAAGCUUCACAUAAGCUGAUAUAAGAACAUGGAUGUGAAUGAUGUGACACAUUGAAGAAAAUGGUUAAUGGAAAAAAGAAAUCAUGCAGGAAACAACUAAAGGACUAAUGAAGAGAUUUUCAUUACUGAAUGAAGUGAUUUACAUUGGCAAGAAGACAAAAAUGUCUAUCAAAUGGGAGAGAAUGAGACGGGGGUGUAGGGAUUUGUAUUAUUAAGUUUCAAAGGUCUUCUUUGUAGGGAUGGUGGCUGACCAGUAUCAAGUGAUCACAGGCUAUGACAAUUUUCUACUUUUCUAUAAAUAAGCCAUCAGAGCAAGUUGUUCCUGAAUGUUUAUGGCCAGAACGGAAUCUGCAAGGCCACAUCCUUCAGCUUUUGAUGGAAUCACUCACCCUGGCUUUCAGCAGGGCCACUCCUCCUCUUCCAGCCUAACUCCUUCCUCCUUAACAGGGAAGCAUUGGUCUUGGCCACGCUGGCCCACGUGGGAGCUGUCUGGCUCUGCAGAUUAUUGCCUGGGUGUCCAUGAUCAUCUUGUGGACCUGAAGUCUCAUGGACUUGGCUACUGACUGGUCUCAAAAGUAAAACAUUACUCCCAUGGCCUCCUUUCCAGAAGUGUAUUCUUUGAAAUUAACUCACUGCUGCAAAACCAAGAGGAAAUCUCGAGAGAAUGAAUAUGAAAAUGCCACUUACGGACAUUGGUGAGAUGUGGCUGAGGCAAUGUGGGAAGGAGGGUAUCAGGCACUCACUGCUCAUUUUAAAAAAGCAGCAGUGUCUCUCAGGUGUCCAGCAUCCAUGCAGCAUCACAUGUCAUGGGUUGAACUGUGACCCUGGAAAGAUAUACUGGAGUUCCAACACCUGGGACUUGUGAAUGUGACCUUGUUUGGAAAUAGGGUCUCUGUGGAUGUCAUCAAGUGAAGAAGAAUUCUUCCUGGAUUAGGGUGAACCCUAAUUCAAUGAAGGGUAUCCCAUAAGAGCAAGAAACUUUGGAAGAGGCCCUGUGUGAUGACAGGCAGAGACUGGAGUCAUUCUGUAACAGCCAAGAGGCACCAAAGAAUGCCAUGAAACACCAGAAGCUGGACAGAGCACUGUGGCUCAUGUGUGUAAUCCAACACUUUGGGAGGCUGAGGCGGGUGGAUCACCUGAGGUCAGGACUUCAAGACCAGCCUGACCAACAUGCUGAAACCCCGUGUUUACUAAAAGUACAAAAAUUAGCCAGGCAUGGUGAUGCGUGCCUGUAGUCCCAGCUACUCGGGAGGCUGAGGCAAGAGAAUCGCUUGAACCUAGGAGGCAGAGGUUGCAGUGAGCUGAGAUCACGCCAUUGCAUUCCAGCAUGGGCAAUAAGAGCGAAACUCCAUCUCAAAACAUAUAUAUAAAAAAAAUUUAAAAAAACACCAGAAGGUGGGAGGAGGUGAGGGAGAAAUCUCCCCUGGGCUCUCCAGAAACAGCAGGAAUCCUGACACCCUGAUUUCAGACUUUUAGUCUCCAGAACUGGGAAAGAAUAAAUCUCUGUUGUCUUAGGCUACCCACUCUGUCUUGCUUUGCAAUGGAAGCCCUAAAAAACUGACACACAGAAGCGUAACUUUUGAGGGGAACCAGGUCAUCUUCACCCCCACUUGCCUCCCAUGUCUAAAUAAUCAAAUUAGGUCACUGAACAUGCAUGUCUCAGUUUCCCAGACCCUGUGGCUCCAGUCUUCCCAUCUCCAGGGCUCUCCCCUUGCUGACUGGCCAUGUGCUCUGCAGUCUCACCCCACAGAAUGCAG
rnacentral:lncRNA from 10 species